ensembl:lncRNA
UCAACUUUUCCACUCUGGAGGGUGGUUUCAGAUUUUUGCGUUUUCAAGCCCCAAAAACGCCGUCACCGUAUAAACAAAAGGCACUUCUGAUAAAAUAAUUUGUCGUUUUUACCCGCAAGCGUCCUCGUGUAAACGGGGUCUUACUCUGUCUUUUCACGGCACUGAGAUCAGGCUUUCUAGGUCCAAUCAGGAUUUUCUCUCUUGUUUUUUAGUUGGACAGUAGCCAGUGGGAGCCAGGCUGCUACCGCUGUAUUUGUGAAAACGGCAGCAACAGCAACACCAGAGGGAAACACUGAGAGAGUGUGGAAAAGUGGACAGUUGUCUAUGCCCAGGUUUUUUAUGAAUUGAAGGUGAGCACACUGUUGGAAAUAGUGAGAAUAAUGAGUGUAACAAAUUUUUUUUAUAAAUGAAGCCUGUGAACUUUAAAGGUAGAAUAAAGAAUCUUUCCUGUGUUUCUGACCUCUGAAGUGUUUUCAUUCAUCACCAGCUCACCUGAUCUUCACUGUCGGUCUUCCUGGUGAAGCUGACGGAGGUGUAGUGAACACCAUCUUCAGGAUCAGCCUGCACAGAGGAGUCAACAUGGCUGCUCAGUAACACGUAGUUCUAAAAUGACUCGCUCUUUCAUCUCUCCACUUCAUUUCAGCUCGACUGGUGUAAUUCCAGGAGUCACAUUCAACAGCUGUUCUCCUCCAUCUGACGAGCGCAACAACAGUUAUUAUGAGCGCUGCUACACCAGCGGCCACGAUGACGAACCACCACCAAGCUGGAGAGAGAAUCAAGGAGGGUGAAAUGCUGUCAGUGGAGCUGUGAUGAUGAGCUGCGAUGUGUUCUUAUGCUGCAUCGUAUACAUGUCUUAUAUUUGAUGACUUUCUGGUGGAUGGAGAGGUGAGCCGCAACAAUAUUUGAGAGAAACAGAGAAAUGUGACGUGUGUGGUCACCUUGUUUUAGAUCAGUGAUCGUAGAUGCUGCUGUGGUUGUCUCUGAUGGUGUGCUUUCUGCUGCUGCUGCUGUAGAUCUGGUUGAUUUACUUGUUGGUGUUGUCGUUGCUUUGGCUCUGAUUGGUUUUGUGGCCUCGCCUGGAAGUCAAGACAAAGAAAUGACCAUCAUCCAUCUUACGACCUUCAGUAACCCUACGCAGAAGAAUGAUGUCAUCUUGAAAACUUGAGAUUUCCAAAACAUUUCCAAAAAUGAGAGGGCUGAAGUUAAAGGAACAGUUCACCCAAAAAUAAAAAUUCAGUCAAUACUCACCCGUGACAACAGUCAGAUCAUAAUCAGUGUCUUCACCGUGUCUUUCUCCUGAUCUGAAGUGUCUGCAGCUGUAACGACCAUCAUCCUCAGCUGUGACCGUCUUUAUAACCAGAGAGCAGUCAGGUUCAAGUGUCAGUCUGUCUGAUUUAACUCUGGCAUCUUUAUGAAUCUUUCCCUUUUUAAACAGUGUUAUUGAUUUGUCUGAAUGAGUGUAGGUCCAGGUUGUACUUUUGCAUUUGUCCUUAGUAUCGGUCACAUUUUUACAAGGCAGGUUGACCUGAACUCCAGGUGUGACAGCAAAGGGUUUGGUCUGAACAGCUACUGAUGAGGAAACGAGGAGAGAGAAACACGACAAAGCGGCUUCAAUUUAACUCACAUUUUCAGGGUUCAUUUGAGGAUAUGUCUGUCGGUGUGUGACAAGCGCGUCAUUUUCUUCCUUACCUGUGAUGUGAAGCAGCAGAAUCAGAGAUAACCACAUUUGAAUCCACCUGAAUGAGUCCAUCGAUCUUCUCUUCUAUCUCAUGUUCUUAAGCUCUGAACUGCACAAGUUUCUGAACU